GUCGCUGUCGAUUAGUGGUUAAAUCAUCGUGUUGUGGCAUUUAUCAAAAGAUCUGCGCAGUCCGCGAAGCCGGGAGCUCGAAUCUCCUCAGUGACA